ACCCACCUGAACACACUCUUCCCUUUGUUUAAUACUAGGACAAUAAGCACUUUAAUGACGGUCAAUCAGUGCCUCUCUAAACUACAAAUGAGUUUUGCUUGUUUACAUAUUUAUUUGUUGACAUGUUAGGGACAGAAACUCAAAUGACAUCAGUGAAAACUAACCAAAAGCACUAUAGAUGUAUUGUUUUUUGUGAAUCUGGCCAAUGCAAUAAAUAAAUAUUUUACAAGUACAGUAUUCAUUUGCUGAAUGUUUUAGCAGCCAUAAUAAGGAGGAGGGAUAAAAUAACAAGGUUUUAUAAAUGAUCUGCAAAUUAACUGUAUUCGUGUCAUGAAAACUUCUGUCAGACUGACAUGGGUUGACUUGAAUUAAACUGAGUUUAGAUUUUACCAUCCACUACAUGUAUGAAUGUAACUGUUUACAUAGCUUUACUUCUUCAAUCAUUUUUGACAUGGAUGAUUUAAUUUCUCUAACUGCACAGUCUGUUUACUGACUUUUUUAUUAACAAGACCAGAAUAAAAACAGUCAAGUGUCCACACAAGUUUAUAUUGUUUAUACUUAAAGCUUAAUUAACAGUAAGUAAAUCUAACUCUCUGUUUAGAACUGUGAUAGUUACAUCUACUGCACAACCUCAAACCCAACAAUGCCUCAAAAUCAUAAAGGCAUUCUUUUUUUUGGUGGAGUACACUGUGCCUUGUAGAUUAAACCAGCUCUCACUGGGCCCAUUGAAUUGAAUUAAAGUUAUGUAGGAGGGGGAUGUUUGAACAGCUAAUAGCUAAGGUCAUUUCUGGCAUCCAACCUGUUAGUUGGAUGGGCUGACUGUUGGUUGGCUGCAGCGACUUCCUCAUCACUAGGUGAAACGCCUUCACAGAGAGGCGGGGGAAAGGGAGCUGUGAGUGUGAAACAGUCAUCUGUUGUGCGUAUGGGCAUGAGUAAACAGUGUAAUCAUCUUUGAGGCAGUAAUUAUGUGCUCUAGCAUUGGCUGGGCGGUGGUGGUGGUGGUGGUGGUGGCGGCGGCGGCAGGCCCACCCUGCUUCAGACAGCAGGUGCAGCUCACCAUCUGACAGCUGACUCCUAUGGAAGGUGUGAUCCAAUCCUCCCGAGGCUGGGUCGACCCAGUGCGGGCCUUCAGGCGGUCAGGGCCAAAGCCAACAAACCAGCAAACGUCUGACACAGGAAGAGAGGGAAAAACAACACAGAGGUGGUGGGGAAGGGACUGAUGAAGGACGGAUGUCUCAACUCUGUUUUCACCCACAGGAGUUGGACAGACCUGCUGUCUUUUUUUCUUCUUUUUUUGUUAUUGUUGUUAUGGUGAAGUAUUGAUUUUCUUUUUACUUUGUUUCUACUCUCUUCAAAGGGUUUUCACUAAUGCAAUACAUAUUUUAUUAUUGCUUGUAGAUAAUAAUAAACCAUUUAUAUGUUAAGCAUUUAUAUUCUCAGAUUAUAAAAAAUCUGUUUCACUUAAAUCUGACUCUUUAAUUCAUCAUGCAGAAAGAAUGGACAGUUGUCCAGCCCAAAAUACAUUAAAAUAUGGGCUAAUAUAGUUAUAUUUAAUGCAACAAAAUGGUUGGACCCUUUCUUGGUCUAACAGUAAUGGUAAAACUGCAGACUUGAUGGAUUAUUGUGGCGGAAUAACCCUUUAUUAAUGAUUCAUUAAAAUGUAUAACUGCAGGCCUGGUAGUGGAGGAGGACAUUGACCAGACACGCUGCUACCACUGCCUCAAAAGGCUAAUAAAUAGCUUAUUAACCAUUAAUAACAGUAACAAGUCCUAAACGCUUAUAAAGUAUGUCUCAUUUGACAAUAGAGGUAACUUUUGCUAUGAUCUUCUUUAAUACAAGUAAUUCAUUUUUUUCAACUCAGUGAUUUCUCUCUCUCGCUCCUUCUAACUCACUGUCACUCUCUCUCUCAGGGUCAGGAACUGGUUGGAGAUGGAGACAGAGGCUCUGGGUUCAGAGGGGGGCUCAUGGUGACCUUGUGAUUUAUGGUGCAGCGCCGGAGGAGCAGAUCAGAAUACAGCUGCCCCAUAGCUGCACACAAACAUGUGUAUACCAGACUCAUGCAUAACCUCUCAAAUGUAGUCUGCAUGCAAAUCAGUGUUGCUUUAGACUGAAUGUUUUCCGGCUGUUAGACUAAAAAGAAAAUAAAACAAAUGUAUCUGUA